AUUGAACGCUGGCGGCAGGCCUAACACAUGCAAGUCGAGCGAGCGGCGGACGGGUGAGUAAUGUAUGGGGACUGCCCGAUAGAGGGGGAUAACUACUGGAAACGGUAGCUAAUACCGCAUACUAUCGGAUAACCCAUAUGGUAUUAGCUAGUUGGUGAGGUAAUGGAUCACCAAGACGACGAUCCCUAGCUGGUCUGAGAGGUUGAUCAGCAACACUGGGACUGUGACACGGCCCAGAGUCAUACGGAGGCAGCAGUGGGGAAUAUUGCACAAUGGGGGAAAGCCUGAGACAGCCAUGCCGCGUGUAUGAAGAAGGCCCUAGGGUUGUAAAGUACUUUCAGUCGGGAGGCGUUACCGACAGAAGAAGCACCGGCUAACUCCGUGCCAGCAGCCGCGGUAAUAC
rnacentral:rRNA from 1 species